rnacentral:rRNA from 1 species
UACGUAGGGGGCAAGCGUUGUCCGGAAUUAUUGGGCGUAAAGAGCGCGUAGGCGGUCCGAUAAGUCGGCUGUGAAAGUCAGGGGCUCAACCCUUGAAAGCCGGCCGAUACUGUCGGACUAGAGUCCGGAAGAGGCAAGUGGAAUUCCCGGUGUAGCGGUGAAAUGCGCAGAUAUCGGGAGGAACACCAAUGGCGAAGGCAGCUUGCUGGGACGGUACUGACACUGAGACGCGAAAGCGUGGGGAGCGAACAGG